rnacentral:rRNA from 1 species
UACAGAAGUCUCAAGCGUUGUUCGGAUUCAUUGGGCGUAAAGGGUGCGUAGGCGGCGCGGUAAGUCGGGUGUGAAAUCUCGGAGCUUAACUCCGAAACUGCAUUCGAUACUGCCGUGCUUGAGGACUGGAGAGGAGACUGGAAUUUACGGUGUAGCGGUGAAAUGCGUAGAUAUCGUAAGGAAGACCAGUGGCGAAGGCGGGUUGCUGGGCUGACACUGACGCUGAGGCGCGAAAGCUAGGGGGAGCGAACGGG